GAUGAACGCUGGCGGCGUGCUUAACACAUGCAAGUCGAACGGGAAUUACUUUAUUGAAACUUCGGUCGAUAUGAUUUAAUUCUAGUGGCGGACGGGUGAGUAACGCGUGGGUAACCUGCCUUGUACAGGGGGAUAACAGUCAGAAAUGGCUGCUAAUACCGCAUAAGCGCACAGGACCGCAUGGUCCGGUGUGAAAAACUCCGGUGGUAUAAGAUGGACCCGCGUUGGAUUAGCUUGUUGGCAGGGUAACGGCCUACCAAGGCGACGAUCCAUAGCCGGCCUGAGAGGGUGAACGGCCACAUUGGGACUGAGACACGGCCCAGACUCCUACGGGAGGCAGCAGUGGGGAAUAUUGCACAAUGGGGGAAACCCUGAUGCAGCGACGCCGCGUGAAGGAAGAAGUAUCUCGGUAUGUAAACUUCUAUCAGCAGGGAAGAAAAUGACG
rnacentral:rRNA from 1 species